rnacentral:rRNA from 1 species
AUUGAACGCUGGCGGCAGGCCUAACACAUGCAAGUCGAGCGGAUGAGAAGAGCUUGCUCUUCGAUUCAGCGGCGGACGGGUGAGUAAUGCCUAGGAAUCUGCCUGGUAGUGGGGGACAACGUUUCGAAAGGAGCGCUAAUACCGCAUACGUCCUACGGGAGACAGCAGGGGACCUUCGGGCCUUGCGCUAUCAGAUGAGCCUAGGUCGGAUGAGCUAGUUGGUGAGGUAAUGGCUCACCAAGGCGACGAUCCGUAACUGGUCUGAGAGGAUGAUCAGUCACACUGGAACUGAGACACGGUCCAGACUCCUACGGGAGGCAGCAGUGGGGAAUAUUGGACAAUGGGCGAAAGCCUGAUCCAGCCAUGCCGCGUGUGUGAAGAAGGUCUUCGGAUUGUAAAGCACUUUAAGUUGGGAGGAAGGGCAGUAAGUUAAUACCUUGCUGUUUUGACGUUACCGACAGAAUAAGCACCGGUUAACUCUGUGCCAGCCGCCGCGGUAAUAC